GGCGUUGGUUCCCGCCAUCCGGCGGGUGAAAAGGGAAUGUGCACGGUCAUCAGACUGCAAGCACAGCCGCCCCCGCGACCGUGACCGAAGAGGUCCCUCACGCCACUGACCGCAAGGUUGGGAAGGGGAGGGGCCGCCGGGGGACCUCCUCCGAACUUCGCAAGCCGGGAGACCUGCCAGCAAGAG
rnacentral:ncRNA from 1 species